UAGGGAAUCUUCGGCAAUGGACGAAAGUCUGACCGAGCAACGCCGCGUGAGUGAAGAAGGUUUUCGGAUCGUAAAACUCUGUUGUUAGAGAAGAACAAGGACGUUAGUAACUGAACGUCCCCUGACGGUAUCUAACCAGAAAGCCACGGCUAACUACGUGCCACCAGCCGCGGUAAUACGUAGGUGGCAAGCGUUGUCCUGAUUUAUUGGGCGUAAAGCGAGCGCAGGCGGUUUCUUAAGUGUGAUGUGAAAGCCCCCGGCUAAACCGGGGAGGGUCAUUGGAAACUGGGAGACGUGAGUGCAGAAGAGGAGAGUGGAAUUCCAGGUGUAGCGGUGAAAUGCGUAGAUAUAUGGAGGAACACCAGUGGCAAAGGCGGCUCUCUGGUCUGUAACUAACGCUGAGGCUCGAAAGCGUGGGGAGCAAACAGG
rnacentral:rRNA from 1 species